AGUGAACGCUGGCGGUAGGCCUAACACAUGCAAGUCGAACGGCAGCACAGUAAGCGCUUGCUCUUACGGGUGGCGAGUGGCGGACGGGUGAGGAAUACAUCGGAUUCUACUUUUUCGUGGGGGAUAACGUAGGGACACUUACGCUAAUACCGCAUACGACCUACGGGUGAAAGCAGGGGAUCUUCGGACCUUGCGCGAUUGAAUGAGCCGAUGUCGGAUUAGCUAGUUGGCGGGGUAAAGGCCCACCAAGGCGACGAUCCGUAGCUGAUCUGAGAGGAUGAUCAGCCACACUGGAACUGAGACACGGUCCAGACUCCUACGGGAGGCAGCAGUGGGGAAUAUUGGACAAUGGGCGCAAGCCUGAUCCAGCCAUACCGCGUGAGUGAAGAAGGCCUUCGGGUUGUAAAGCCCUUUUGUUGGGAAAGAAAAGCAGCAGGUUAAUACCCCGCUGUUCUGACGGUACCCAAAGAAUAAGCACCGGCUAACUUCGUG
rnacentral:rRNA from 1 species